UGAGGAGCGAAAGCAUGGGGAGCGAACAGGAUUAGAUACCUGGUAGUCCAUGCCGUAAACGUUGGGCACUAGGUGUGGGGGACAUUCCACGUUCUCCGCGCCGUAGCUAACGCAUUAAGUGCCCCGCCUGGGGAGUACGGCCGCAAGGCUAAAACUCAAAGGAAUUGACGGGGGCCCGCACAAGCGGCGGAGCAUGCGGAUUAAUUCGAUGCAACGCGAAGAACCUUACCAAGGCUUGACAUUCACCGGACCGCACUGGAGACAGUGCUUCCCUUCGGGGUCGGUGGACAGGUGGUGCAUGGUUGUCGUCAGCUCGUGUCGUGAGAUGUUGGGUUAAGUCCCGCAACGAGCGCAACCCUCGUUCUAUGUUGCCAGCACGUGAUGGUGGGGACUCAUAGGAGACUGCCGGGGUCAACUCGGAGGAAGGUGGGGAUGACGUCAAAUCAUCAUGCCCCUUAUGUCUUGGGCUUCACGCAUGCUACAAUGGCCGGUACAAAGGGUUGCGAUACUGUGAGGUGGAGCUAAUCCCAAAAAGCCGGUCUCAGUUCGGAUUGAGGUCUGCAACUCGACCUCAUGAAGUCGGAGUCGCUAGUAAUCGCAGAUCAGCAACGCUGCGGUGAAUACGUUCCCGGGCCUUGUACACACCGCCCGUCAAGUCACGAAAGUUGGUAACACCCGAAGCCGGUGGCCUAA
rnacentral:rRNA from 1 species